GGCUGGUCCGAAGGUAGUGAGUUAUCUCAAUUGCGUGUUCACAGUCAGUUACAGAUCGAAUUCCUUGUUCUACUCUUUCCCCUCUUCUCACUACUGCACUUGAAUAGUCUUUU
ensembl:Y_RNA Y_RNA Y RNA